rnacentral:lncRNA from 1 species
UCAUAUUAACACUGCUAUUGGGGUCAAUCUCUGUUGUUUACUGCUCUAAUCAAGCUAUUGCUAGGAUUCCAUGUUUCUUACAGACCUACAUUGUAUUAUACUGAUCAUUAGUAAUUCAACCUACAUUGUAUUAUACUGGCCAUUAGUUGAGUGUUGAUUCUCUGAUAAUCUUAAUACAUCCAUGGCUGUUCAGGAAAUAGGGAAAAUGUAUAAACUGGUGAAAUAUCACACAGUAACCUCCUCUUAGAUCCGAGCUAAUAUUAUAUGGGUUCGACCGUGCAUGUCGAUACACAGUGCAUCGGGUUAAUGUGCCUCAAGACAUAUUAAUGAAUUGCACAUGUUGAGUUAAAAAAGUGCGCGUUUGUUUUUUUCUAUUGCGAGACAUUUGACGAAGUUUUGUUUUGACCAUAAUCAAAAUGCUACAGAAAUGCAAGUCAAGGUUUAGUUACAAUAACUUUACUUACUAUUAUUUCCACACUGUUCUCUACAAAGAAAAAUAAAUUACGGAUAAAUUGCAGUGAUAAGCUAUCAAAAAGAUACGUACAUUUACUUAUAUUGCUCAAUAUUCAAUUGAUCGAUUUUUUUAGUUACGAAAGUGCGAUGUUCCAAAACUGAAAAACGAACUAUUGGAGUCACGAAAGUUUUUGGGCUUUUAGUUCCAGUUAUGGUCAUGGAGUGCACACGAUUCACAGAAUAUAAAACUGCAUCAAGCAUUAAUUUUACAUGCGUGAAGCUUUUUACAAUUAAUUUCUACUAUGAAAAGAUCAUUCAUCAGCUAGCUGAACGAACAUACACUGUAUGACAAUGCGAAUAAGCACGCUAAAUAUUACGAGUCAUAGUACUUCCAAGCUAUUUUUACAAAUGCAUUUCACUGGACUAUCUUCUGAUUACCUUUUUCUUAAGCUUCAGAAGGUUAUUUUGGAUUGAAAUGACAAUUUGCAACUUUUCACCUUUUCAAUAAUACCGAGGACCAAAUUUAGAAAAUUCAACGGGUGGUGAGUUCAAUCAGGUGAAAAAUUGUAGGUCGAACAUGAAAGGAUGCACAUUCGUUUUUGAAGAUUGAAAAUAAUGUUUCAUGAAGCAAACUUGAGGUAUGAACCAAGUCUCACUUUUUUUAUUUGUAUAAUUGGUUGAGAUAUGAGAUGCCUUAGGACGUGUGAUAGUGACACUCAUGAUUUCUUGCUGUGCAAAAAAUAUAGUAUACACCAAGAGUUGCAUAAAUCUGUAAAGGGUGACAUACCUGUAGUGCAAGAAAUUAUAAUAAGUAAAUAGCAUUGAAACGAUCUUUGCUUUUUUGGAUGGAAAUAGGUGAGAUCUAUUAAGCAAUAAUAGGGUUAGGAAUGAUGGUUGCUGAUAACUAUACAUUUUUAUGAAGAGUCAUCUACCUGGAUGUCAUCCAUCUAACACGAAUAAUUGAAUUCUUAUUGUACAUAAAUGAUGAUUUUUAGUUCUCCUUUCUAGAGUCUCUUUUGCAUCAUGGUAUAUCUGUUAUCAAGAAUGAUGCUCGAAAAAUUCUUCUUUCCAUGCCAAAUAACAUUUUGUUUCGACUCGAUAACACCAGGUAACAUGGUGGAUGUCGUAACACGCAACAGUUAAACUGUAGCGACAUAGAGAUAGGAAUGGGCAAAUCAUCUUAGCUAUAGUGUAUGUACAAAAGAGCAUUGAUUAAUGAUGCUGAGAGCUAGCUCUUACCGCAUUAUCAUCUAUCUCUAUAACUUUCAAGGACCAGUAAUUGUAUGAUUGUAUCAUGUGAUUGGUACUACAAAAUUGACAAUCUUUGUGUAUUAAUAUCUUAAUUUCAAGAUGAGUUGGAGAAGGGAGUCUGCUCUAUGUUUUCUAAUCGGUCACAGUCAAUGUGUAUUUCUGGUAUUAAUGUACAGUUAUUAAGAAAGUUUUCUUUUACAGAUAUUCUGCUAAUGAUAGGAAACGUGGUGAAAACUGCUCUGGCUGGAGUUGUAUGCUUUGUGAAUGAAGACUAGAUACUGGUGUCACGGUGACUUGCAGCCACUCCUGAUGGUCCUACCACCCAGCUUUUGCUCUCUCGAUUUUUUUUAUUUUCAUAUUAACACUGCUAUUGGGGUCAAUCUCUGUUGUUUACUGCUCUAAUCAAGCUAUUGCUAGGAUUCCAUGUUUCUUACAGACCUACAUUGUAUUAUACUGAUCAUUAGUAAUUCAACCUACAUUGUAUUAUACUGGCCAUUAGUUGAGUGUUGAUUCUCUGAUAAUCUUAAUACAUCCAUGGCUGUUCAGGAAAUAGGGAAAAUGUAUAAA